rnacentral:rRNA from 1 species
AACGAACGUUAGCGGCGCGCUUAACACAUGCAAGUCGAACGAGAAAGGGCUUCGGCCCCGGUACAGUGGCGCACGGGUGAGUAACACGUGGGUAACCUUCCCUCGAGCGGGGGAUAACGUUCCGAAAGGAACGCUAAUACCGCAUAAGACCACGGGCUCGAAAGAGCCUGGGGUAAAAGUAGGCCUCUGAAUUCACGCUUACACCCGAGGAUGGGCCCGCGGCCCAUCAUGGUAGUUGGUAGGGUAACGGCCUACCAAGCCGAAGACGGGUAGCUGGUCUUAGAGGAUGAUCAGCCACACUGGAACUGAGACACGGUCCAGACUCCUACGGGAGGCAGCAGUGGGGAAUCUUGCGCAAUGGGCGAAAGCCUGACGCAGCGACGCCGCGUGGGUGAUGAAGGCCUUCGGGCUGUAAAGCUCUGUGGGGAGAGACGAAUAAGACGUGGCUAAUAUCCACGGCGAUGACGGUAUCUCCUUAGCAAGCACCGGCUAACUCUGUGCCAGCCGCCGCCGUAACAC